CACAGGUGUGAGUUGAGCACAGUCAUUGCUGGAGUACAUUUGCCUGCUUAACCAUCUUCCUGCAGGCUGUGCUGUUCAGUUAUUCCCUUCCUACCCACCUUGUGAGCUGCGUGUGUCGGGCAGGGAGAAGAGAGAAGACACCUAGAAGUCUUAUUUGCAGACCUGAGGAAAAAAGCUUCACAGGAGCUUGCAAGAGCAAAACCCCCAUCUCUUAAUGAGACUGGAGCUUCAGGAAGAAGUUCCCUUGCUUCACAGAGCACUGGAGACUGCAGGAGGAAGCAGUGAGGAGAUGGUAUCAAUCAGAGUUGAAGUUCUUCCAAGGAUUUCCUAAAUGUGACUGGAACAUGCUGGAUCCUCACCCAAUAAGUCUGGACUGCUAAUCUAAAGAAAUGGUACCAUCUAGAGAGGCCAGGAGGCCACCCUCAGGAAUAUUAAUUUUCUCUUUCAUUGAGGUACUAUUGGAUCUAAUCAGUAAUGUGGGGAAGUUCCA
rnacentral:lncRNA from 1 species